AUUGAACGCUGGCGGCAUGCCUUACACAUGCAAGUCGAACGGCAGCGGGGGUAGCUUGCUACCUGCCGGCGAGUGGCGAACGGGUGAGUAAUACAUCGGAACGUGCCCUGUAGUGGGGGAUAACUAGUCGAAAGACUAGCUAAUACCGCAUACGACCUGAGGGUGAAAGUGGGGGACCGCAAGGCCUCAUGCUAUAGGAGCGGCCGAUGUCUGAUUAGCUAGUUGGUGGGGUAAAGGCCUACCAAGGCGACGAUCAGUAGCUGGUCUGAGAGGACGAUCAGCCACACUGGGACUGAGACACGGCCCAGACUCCUACGGGAGGCAGCAGUGGGGAAUUUUGGACAAUGGGGGCAACCCUGAUCCAGCAAUGCCGCGUGUGUGAAGAAGGCCUUCGGGUUGUAAAGCACUUUUGUCCGGAAAGAAAUCGCUUCGGUUAAUACCUGGAGUGGAUGACGGUACCGGAAGAAUAAGGACCGGCUAACUACGUGCCAGCAGCCGCGGUAAUACGUAGGGUCCAAGCGUUAAUCGGAAUUACUGGGCGUAAAGCGUGCGCAGGCGGUUGUGCAAGACCGAUGUGAAAUCCCCGGGCUUAACCUGGGAAUUGCAUUGGUGACUGCACAGCUAGAGUGUGUCAGAGGGAGGUAGAAUUCCACGUGUAGCAGUGAAAUGCGUAGAGAUGUGGAGGAAUACCGAUGGCGAAGGCAGCCUCCUGGGAUAACACUGACGCUCAUGCACGAAAGCGUGGGGAGCAAACAGG
rnacentral:rRNA from 1 species